AAACAAUAAAAAAAAUUAGUAAAACUAAAUUAAAUAAAGUAAAAAAAACUUUAUUUAAAAAACCUAUUGCUAUAGUUAAACCCUAUGAAAACGAGUACAAGCCCAAACCUAUAUAUGUUGCACAAUCAGUUGUAAAUAGACACGAAGAUUACACGAAGAAGAUUUAGAUAUGUAUGCUGGUGAAUUGGAAUAUUUUGGCGAUUUGCCUGAUUUAGAUGCAAAAAUUCGUAUAUUGGAUCAAUUUAUACGUUCUCGUGCACAAACAAACGAAUUUGGAAUUUAUACGUUCUCGUGCACAAACAAACGAAUUUGAAAUUAAUAAAGGGAUUAAUGACAUCGGGAUUAGAGUCGUUACUUAAAUUUGAGAAAGGGAAACAUCAUCAAUUGUUGCUAAUAAAUAAGCAGAUACCAUGUAAAAAAAAAACACUAAAUUUUAAUGCGUUUAAAACACUUAACGCAAACUAUUGCCACUAACGCUGUAGUCGAAUGUAAUUCGGAAGCAUCUAACGCAUCGACACAGGCAUCAUACUCAUUUGUUCUAGAUAUUAAUAUUGGUUUUUUACGCCUGAUAAAAAUUAUAUUGUUAUUUAACACAUAUAAUAAUGCAAACGUUUUAAGUAAAAAAAUGAUGUUUUUUAAAAUGUUUUUUAAGCGAGGGUCCGAAAAUUUCGUAUAAAAAUGCAACAACCAAAAAUAUUGCACUUAAAAACAUCGUAAUAGCACCGAAUAUUGAUGUAAAAGAAACGUCUUCAGUAGCAGAAAACUCUUCACUUUAACCAAGACGAAACUCAUAAUAUCUUCUGUAUGUAAGCUUUAAAAAGAAAAGCAAUCGAGAAUAGAAAUGUCGAUUUCACCGUUAAACUUCAUAUCCUCGAUAGAGGAUCCAAGAAAAUAUUGAUUUAUCGAAAGAACUGGUGAGUUUAUGUGGGAGCCCUAAAUAAGAAAAAAUUAGUUGAGAAAAAAAGAUUUAUUUUUUUUUCAACCACUUUGCUCUUGGAAACAAUUAUUGAAAGAAAAUAUUUACGUCAUUGGUACGGCCACUGGUAAAAGGUAUUCAGGAGCAAAACCUUUUCGGGAUAAUGGUACAUUCCACUUUAUUGAAGGACAAUUUGGAAUUGGCUUUUUUAAAAUCUCAUCACCAACUUGUUCAAUAACUUUAGAAUACAAAUGCAACUUGUUAUCUGUAAAAAAAUAUAAAAAUAAAUUUA